GUCGAGAAUCUUUCACAAUGGGGGCAACCCUGAUGGAGCGACGCCGCGUGGAGGAUAAGGUCUUCGGAUUGUAAACUCCUGUCAUGCGUGAACAAGGUUGCUUGGUUAAUACCUGGGCAAAUUGAUGGUAACGCAAGAGGAAGAGACGGCUAACUCUGUGCCAGCAGCCGCGGUAAUACAGAGGUCUCAAGCGUUGUUCGGAAUCACUGGGCGUAAAGGGUGCGUAGGUGGCGUGGUAAGUCAGAUGUGAAAGCCCGGGGCUCAACCUCGGAACCGCAUCCAAUACUGCCAAGCUAGAGUACGGGAGAGGUGACUAGAAUUCUCGGUGUAGCAGUGAAAUGCGUAGAUAUCGAGAGGAAUACCAAAGGCGUAGGCAGGUCACUGGACAGUUACUGACACUGAGGCACGAAGGCCAGGGGAGCGAACGGGAUUAGAAACCCUAGUAGUCC
rnacentral:rRNA from 1 species